AGAAGUGCGGGCGUGCGCGUCUCGAAGUCAGCCAUAACAGCAUCUGGCUUGUAUUUGGGGAGGGGACGAUUCUCGAUUCUUCGUUCAACUCUUUGGAGCUCCCCUCUCAAGCAAAAUAAACCAAUAGGAAUGAGUGUUUAUUUAA
rnacentral:lncRNA from 1 species